UUGUUUUGUAAGACCUGUGGGGUCCCUUCAGAUUAUUCUUACAAUUGGAUUUUCUUUUCUUAACUAAGCAGCUACUCAAUCUCUCUUUGCUUUUCUUUCAAUGACAUUAGAGUUCCAGAGCAAGAGGAAAGGAAUCUUUCACUCAGUUUAGUUUGAUUGAAAAGGCCCACUUAAUUAAAAUGUAUAUAUUCAGAAACAUUUCCCUGUAUCUUCCUUCUUGUUUAGUUAAAAAAUAAAUUUUAUUCAGC
rnacentral:lncRNA from 1 species